GACGAACGCUGGCGGCGUGCUUAACACAUGCGAGUCGAACGGAAAGGCCCUGCUUUUGUGGGGUGCUCGAGUGGCGAACGGGUGAGUAACACGUGAGUAACCUGCCCUUGACUUUGGGAUAACUUCAGGAAACUGGGGCUAAUACCGGAUAGGAGCUCCUGCUGCAUGGUGGGGGUUGGAAAGUUUCGGCGGUUGGGGAUGGACUCGCGGCUUAUCAGCUUGUUGGUGGGGUAGUGGCUUACCAAGGCUUUGACGGGUAGCCGGCCUGGGAGGGUGACCGGCCACAUUGGGACUGAGAUACGGCCCAGACUCCUACGGGAGGCAGCAGUGGGGAAUAUUGCACAAUGGGCCGAAGCCUGAUGCAGCAACGCCGCGUGCGGGAUGACGGCCUUCGGGUUGUAAACCGCUUUCGCCUGUGACGAAGCGUGAGUGACGGUAAUGGGUAAAGAAGCACCGGCUAACUACGUG
rnacentral:rRNA from 1 species